rnacentral:rRNA from 1 species
AACGAACGCUGGCGGCAUGCCUAACACAUGCAAGUCGAACGAGACCGUCGGGUCUAGUGGCGCACGUGUGCGUAACGCGGGGGAAGCUACCCUCAGGUUCGGAAUAACUCAGAGAAGUUUGAGCUAAUACCGGUUGAUGACGUACGUCCAAAGAUGUCUCGCCUGAGGAUGAGCCCGGGUAGGUUUCGGUAGUUGGGGAGGUAAAGGCUCACCAAGCCGACGAUCCUUGGCUGGUCGGAGAGGAGGAUCAGCCACGCUGGGAAUGAGACACGGCCCAGACUCCUACGGGAGGGAGGAGUGGGGAAUAUUGGAGAAGGGGCGAAAGCGUGAUCCAGCAAUGCCGCGGGAGUGAGGAAGGCGUUAGGGUUGUAAAGCUCUUUGACCCGGGAUGAUAAUGACAGUACCGGGAGAAUAAGCACCGGCUAACUCCGUG